GUUCCUGUAGGUCACUGUGCAUACCCAUAGUUCCUAUAGGUCACUGUGCAUACCCAUAGUUCCUAUAGGUCACUGUGCAUACCCAUAGUUCCUGUAGGUCACUGUGCAUAUCCAUAGUUCCUAUAGGUCACCGUGUGUACCCAUAGUUCCUGUAGGUCCCUGUGUGUACCCAUAGUUCCUAUAGGUCACUGUGUGUACCCAUAGUUCCAUCCUUUGUAUUAACAUCCGUGGGAUGGAUGGUCUGGUAUUGCCCACUAAGGUCCAUCAGGGUUGAUUCCAGUUCUUGCCUAUUAACAAUUAAGCUGCU